rnacentral:rRNA from 1 species
CCUACGGGAGGCAGCAGUGGGGAAUUUUCCGCAAUGGGCGAAAGCCUGACGGAGCAACGCCGCGUGAGGGAUGAAGGCCUCUGGGCUGUAAACCUCUUUUAUCAAGGAAGAAGAUCUGACGGUACUUGAUGAAUAAGCCACGGCUAAUUCCGUGCCAGCAGCCGCGGUAAUACGGGAGUGGCAAGCGUUAUCCGGAAUUAUUGGGCGUAAAGCGUCCGCAGGCGGUCUUGUAAGUCUGUCGUUAAAGCGUGGAGCUCAACUCCAUUUCGGCGGUGGAAACUACAAGACUAGAGUGUGGUAGGGGCAGAGGGAAUUCCCGGUGUAGCGGUGAAAUGCGUAGAUAUCGGGAAGAACACCAGUGGCGAAGGCGCUCUGCUGGGCCAUAACUGACGCUCAUGGACGAAAGCUAGGGGAGCGAAAGGGAUUAGAUACCCCUGUAGUCCUAGCCGUAAACGAUGAACACUAGGUGUCGGGGGAAUCGACCCCCUCGGUGUCGUAGCUAACGCGUUAAGUGUUCCGCCUGGGGAGUACGCACGCAAGUGUGAAACUCAAAGAAUAGACGG